GGGACAGGAGAGACAGGUGGUGCAUGGUUGUCGUCAGCUCGUGUCGUGAGAUGUUGGGUUAAGUCCCGCAACGAGCGCAACCCUUAUCCUCAGUAGCCAGCGGCCAGGCCGGGCACUCUGUGGAGACUGCCAGGGAGAACCUGGAGGAAGGUGGGGAUGACGUCAAAUCAUCAUGCCCCUUAUGAUUUGGGCUACACACGUGCUACAAUGGCGUAAACAAAGGGAAGCGAAGUGGCGACACGGAGCGAACCCCAAAAAUAACGUCUCAGUUCGGAUUGUAGUCUGCAACUCGACUACAUGAAGCUGGAAUCGCUAGUAAUCGCGGAUCAAAAUGCCGCGGUGAAUACGUUCCCGGGUCUUGUACACACCGAAA
rnacentral:rRNA from 1 species